GAUUAAAUACCAAAAAAAAUAAAUAAAUAAAGCAGCAAAAACGCAUUUUUGCAAUAAUUUUCCCAAUAAUGGGCGACUCAAACAAAGGAGAUACUCUACGUCUGCCGAAUGGCGAUGCACUGACGGGCGAUGAGGUCAAGUCACCGUUCCUGAUUGGCGUGGCAGGCGGCACGGCCAGCGGCAAGUCCACGGUGUGCAAGAAGAUCAUGGAGCAGCUGGGCCAGGCCGAAAUGGAUCAUACACAGCGCCAAGUGGUGGCCAUCAGUCAGGAUAGCUUCUAUCGCGAGCUGACGGCUGCCGAGAAGGCCAAGGCACAAAAGGGAUUGUUUAACUUUGAUCAUCCGGAUGCGUUCAAUGAGGAGUUGAUGUACAAUACGCUGCAGGGCAUUCUGAAGGGGCACAAGGUGAAGAUUCCCGGCUAUGACUACCGCACCAAUUCGCUGGACUUUGAGAACAUGCUGGUUAUCUAUCCAGCGGAUGUGGUGCUGUUUGAGGGCAUUUUGGUCUUCUAUUUUCCCAAAAUACGCGAUCUCUUCCAUAUGAAACUGUUUGUGGAUACCGACUCGGACACGAGACUGGCGCGACGAGUGCCACGUGAUAUCAAUGAGCGUGGCCGGGACCUGGACGCUGUGCUCACCCAGUACAUGACGUUUGUGAAGCCCGCCUUCGAGGAAUUUUGCUCGCCCACAAAAAAGUUUGCUGACGUUAUAAUACCACGCGGGGCUGAUAACACAGUUGCCAUUGAUCUCAUUGUACACCAUAUCGGGGAGAUACUCGCCACUACGAACAGCGCACAGCACAGCCACACAAACAGAGCUGCGCCGUCCAGCAUGAAGCGAGAUCACUAAAUGUGCAAAAUAAAUUACAAAAAAAUAAUGCCUAAACGUGUCCUCAAAGCUUAUACUAAUUUUGCCCAAAAUCAAGUGAGAAACACCAAACAGAAAUAGAGAAAAACAAAGAAGAAAGCGCCGGGCCUCGCUCCUUAUAUUUCGCUACACCCUGUAACACGACACUAAUGUAGCGCCUAAGAUUGAAAAGUAUCCUUAGCUAUAGCUACUACUAUUAUACAUAUAUUCUACUCGAUUAUUAAUUAAUUAUAUUCAAAUAUUAUACAUGGUAGUGUGUAUGUGUAAGUUCGCAAGUGGAAAAUAUGUCACAAAACUGACUCCUACGCUCUGACUUUUUGUAAGAUUCCUAAGCACUUAAUUCACCCAAAAAAAACACACAAGUCACAGCUCUAAUUAUUGUAAUAUUCAUAUUUUAAUGCCCGAUACUUGUAGAUCAAGAAAGUCGCGUGCAGACAACUCAAACUGUCCGUCUGUUUGUCGUUUAAGUUUCCUAAAAAUUUAUUUUCCUCUCGAAAUGUUUAACCAAAAACCAUAAAUCACUUUCCAUGCCUUUGCAUGCCUUUGGUUUAACAUUAAACCCUUUCAAAUAACAUAAACAAUUACUGCAACUAUUAAAUAUGUUAAGAUUUCUACUAAAACUAAUUCCAUUUCUUGCUCUAUCUUUGAUUUACGCUCAUGAAGUCAAGUUAAGGGUAAACCAAACAGUCGGCACACAUUCGACUUUCGCGUUUCAUUAAUUGUUUCUACUGUUAAAACUAGUCCUAAACAAAACAAAGAUGAUAAAUAAAUGUUUCGUUUAGUAAGUACAAAAAUAAUUCAGCUGAGAGAUGAUGUAAAUCGUAUUGUAAAGCACACACAAAACCAAAACACACCCUUCGAUUGGUAGAUUUUAACACAGACAGAGCCGCCCAGCGUAACUUAGAUGCGACUUAGGUAAUCACACAUACUAACUAGUGCUAUAGUAGACAGCUUGGAUCGUUUUCUGGCAGUGGCCAUCGACCUGAUUGUGCAGCACAUACGAGACUUUCUCAAUAAUCGCUCACGUCCGGGAUCCACCGGCAACAUGGCGCUCUACAUGAAUCUGGACUUGAAUGCCAGCGGCAUAAUGGGCCCAG